rnacentral:misc_RNA from 1 species
GAGUGGUGGGAAUUCCCUUUAUGCUUUCCAAAGAUAACAUAGAGCUGCAAUUUGCCACGAAUCAUCUAGGUCAUUUUCUUUUGACAAAUUUGUUGUUGGACAAGAUGAAGGAGACAACACGUAAAACAGAGAGAGAGGGAAGGAUUAUUAAUGUGUCUUCAGUAGCUUAUUGUAUGUUCACAUAUCGCGAGGGAAUUCGCUUUGGCAAAAUUAAUGAUCCCAAAAGCUACUGUAGUUUUUGGGCAUACGGACAAUCAAAGCUGGCCAACAUACUGCAUGCUUAUGAGCUCACAAGACGCUUAAAGGAAGGAGGAGUGGAAAUAACAGCAAAUUCACUUCAUCCUGGAACAAUCACAACCAAUAUGUUUCGUCAUCUGGGCAUUUUUGAUGGUCUUGUAAGCAAGUUUGGGAAGUUUAUUUUUAAAAACGUUCAACAGGGAGCAUCAACCACUUGCUAUGUUGCAUUGCAUCCACAAUUGAAGGGGAUAAGUGGUGAAUAUUUUUGUGACAACAAUUUGGGGACAACAACAGCUAUUGCUAGAGAUAUGGAUUUAGCUAAAAGGCUCUGGGAUUUUAGUAUGGAAUUAGUUAAGGAGUAACAUGUAAGAUGUUGUACCAGUAAGAGAGAAAAAAUAACUUUGUAUUUAAUAGUUUGUGAUGUUUAUUUUUGUAUCAUAUAGAGAAAUAAGAUGUUGUACCUAACUGAGAGUGUUCACCGAAGAAAAAG